UUGGAAGGUAGUAAUAUUGUACGUAAAAAAACAUUCUCCUUAAGGUAUCAGAAUUCAUGUGUAUUCAGAUCAAGUGGUUUUGAAAACUCACCAUAUAUGAUGGAACCAGCCCACACCACUACUAAUGCUGUUCACCAAGGACCUAGGAAUAAAGCACAUCGGACCCAAGGUUACCCAACACCUCGCCAUUUCCACACCCAGACCCAAGAUUUACAGCAGUCAGUAAGAAAAUUCCCACAGAAUCA